CUUCUACCAUGUGAGGGCACAGCAUUCAACUCCCCCAGAGGAUGCAGCAUCAAAGUGCCAACUUGCAAGCAGUGAGAAGCUCUUAAAAGACAGCUGAACCUGCAGCUCCUUGAUCUUGGACUUUCUGUCCUCCAGAACUGAAAUUUGGUGCUAAGUCUAGUGAGUUGGACAUGGCCAUUCGAUGGAGGCUCCCAAGAACAAUGAAGUCAGGCAUCUAUUCUUUCUCUCACUGUGACUGUGAUGACCUGGCCGAGGCAAACACUUUCAGUAACACCCAUGGAUGGUAAGAACAAAGAAGAACCUUCAUGAGUGCUUUGAUGGUAGCUCCUGGAAAAGUAGUUUGAGUAAUAAAGUAGCUCCCAAUUGCUCAUCAGCUGAAAAACCAACUGCCCUUUAUAUAGUUCUACCAUUAUUUCUAUACAGGCAGAGCCUUUGUUUUC
rnacentral:lncRNA from 1 species